AGCAGCACAUACACUUUUAAAAAAAAGAUGGAGGGAUACAGAGAAGGUUAGCAUGGCCCCUGCGCGAGGAUGGCACGCAAAUUCGUGAAGCGGUCCAUUAAAAA